rnacentral:misc_RNA from 1 species
GAUGAAGAACGCAGCGAAAUGCGAUAAGUAAUGUGAAUUGCAGAAUUCAGUGAAUCAUCGAAUCUUUGAACGCACAUUGCGCCCCCUGGUAUUCCGGGGGGCAUGCCUGUUCGAGCGUCAUUACAACCCUCAAGCUCUGCUUGGUAUUGGGCCCCGCCAGUUCUGGCGGGCCCUAAAGUCAGUGGCGGUGCCUUCCGGCUCCGAGCGUAGUAAUUCCUCUCGCUCUGGAGACCCGGUUGUGUGCUUGCCAACAACCCCCAAUUUUUUAAGGUUGACCUCGGAUCAGGUAGGGAUACCAGCUGAACUUAAGCAUAUCAAUAAGCGGAGGA